rnacentral:rRNA from 1 species
CCCAGACUCCUACGGGAGGCAGCAGUGGGGGAUAUUGCACAAUGGGGGGAACCCUGAUGCAGCGACGCCGCGUGGGUGAAGGAGCGUUUCGGCGCGUAAAGCCCUAUCGGCAGGGAAGAAGGAGGACGGUACCUGACUAAGAAGCCCCGGCUAACUACGUGCCAGCAGCCGCGGUAAUACGUAGGGGGCAAGCGUUAUCCGGAUUUACUGGGUGUAAAGGGGGCGCAGACGGCAGCGCAAGCCAGGAGUGAAAGCCCGGGGCCCAACCCCGGGACUGCAUUGGAAACUGCGAGGCUGGAGUGUCGGAGAGGCAGGCGGAAUUCCUAGUGUAGCGGUGAAAUGCGUAGAUAUUAGGAGGAACACCAGUGGCGAAGGCGGCCUGCUGGACGAUGACUGACGCUGAGGCUCGAAAGCGUGGGGAGCAAACAGGAUUAGAUACCCGAGUAGA